GACGGAGGGUGCGAGCGUUAUUCGGAAUUAUUGGGCGUAAAGAGUGUGUAGGCGGCCGGUUAAGUCAGGCGUGAAAGCCCAGGGCUCAACCCUGGAAGUGCGUUUGAAACUGGCUGGCUUGAGUUCGGGAGAGGGAAGCGGAAUUCCUGGUGUAGAGGUGAAAUUCGUAGAUAUCAGGAGGAACAUCGGUGGCGAAGGCGGCUUCCUGGACCGAAACUGACGCUGAGACACGAAAGCGUGGGGAGCAAAUAGG
rnacentral:rRNA from 1 species